rnacentral:lncRNA from 1 species
UUAAAAGACAGGUGGUGACCUCCAGGCACAAGGCAGGAGAGCAGAGGAGCACGUGUGAACCCCAUGUCUAUGCGACCCGUAGAUACAGUUCCCUCUGCACUACGCGCCUUGAGUUUCUAAGAACCCAGCCCUCAGGCCGGGGCCGCUGGCAUCCCUGGUCGUGGCCGGCUGCGGAAACAUGAGCUCACUUUCCAAAUAUAGUUGAGCGGAGCAAGAGGACAGAUGGGAGCCCAAGGCCACAGUCGCCUCAAAGUGACCACGGACUGAGCAGUGUUUCAUGAAUAGACAAGGAAGGCCAACCUCCACUCCCCCAGAAAAGAAGAAACGCUCACCGCAAGUCCAUCUCCUUUCUGGAGUCUUCCGACUAACCAAGGAUUGGAAAGAAAAGUUUCAUGACUCAGCCUAUAACCCUUCUGGACACCUAUACACACUGGCAACAAACCUCGGAGAUUGGCCAGAAGUGGAAGGCGGAGGAAGAUGUAGCACUGUAGGCCAAGAAGACCCGUGUGUCAGACCCCAUUAGCAGCUGGGAGAGCUCGGAAGAGGAGGUGGCGGCAGAAGCUGAAACCGCCAAAGCCAGUAAGAGUCCUGCAUGUUGUGGGUCCCCCAUGGUUGGUGCUGGUGGGCUCGGCCCAUGGCCCUGCCCUUUCUGGGAACAGGCUGUCAGAUCACUUAGAGGCAGGUGUGAACCAGGCGAUCACCCCAAGAGAACACAGUCCUCAGUGGUUGAGGAUGUGGGCAUGGCUCAGAGAGUUGCUGGCAUUAUGAGCCUGGCUUGGGAGGAGACAGAGACAGGGCGGUGAUCCAGGGCAGCCGCAGGGAAUCCACCAGUGGAUCCGAGGAGACCUUUGCAGUGCUUCGGAGGGCCAGCAGGGGGAAGCACUGCCACCUCCGGCCUGGCAGCAGGGGGCG